rnacentral:snRNA from 1 species
GUGCUCACUUCAUCAGCACAUAUACUAAAAUUGGAAUGGUACAGAGAAGAUUAGCAUGGCCCCUGCACAAGGAUGACAUGCAAAUUUGUGAAAUGUUCUGUAUUUAA